rnacentral:rRNA from 1 species
GCUGGCGGCAUGCUUAACACAUGCAAGUCGAACGGAAACGAUGAGAGCUUGCUCUUCAGGCGUCGAGUGGCGGACGGGUGAGUAAUGCAUAGGAAUCUGCCCAGUAGCGGGGGACAACUCGAAGAAAUUCGAGCUAAUACCGCAUACGCCCUACGGGGGAAAGCAGGGGAUCUUCGGACCUUGCACUAUUGGAUGAGCCUAUGUCAGAUUAGCUUGUUGGUGGGGUAAUGGCCUACCAAGGCGACGAUCUGUAGCUGGUCUGAGAGGACGAUCAGCCACACUGGGACUGAGACACGGCCCAGACUCCUACGGGAGGCAGCAGUGGGGAAUAUUGCACAAUGGGCGAAAGCCUGAUGCAGCAAUGCCGCGUGUGUGAAGAAGGCCUGCGGGUUGUAAAGCACUUUCAGUAGGGAGGAAAAGCAACAGGUUAAUACCCUGAUGUCUUGACGUUACCUACAGAAGAAGCACCGGCUAACUCUGUGCCAGCAGCCGCGGUAAUACAGAGGGUGCAAGCGUUAAUCGGAAUUACUGGGCGUAAAGCGCGCGUA